rnacentral:rRNA from 1 species
UCCCAGACUCCUACGGGAGGCAGCAGUGGGGAAUAUUGCACAAUGGGGGAAACCCUGAUGCAGCGACGCCGCGUGAGUGAAGAAGUAUUUCGGUAUGUAAAGCUCUAUCAGCAGGAAAGAUAAUGACGGUACCUGACUAAGAAGCCCCGGCUAACUACGUGCCAGCAGCCGCGGUAAUACGUAGGGGGCAAGCGUUAUCCGGAUUUACUGGGUGUAAAGGGUGCGUAGGUGGCAUGGCAAGUCAGAAGUGAAAGCCCGGGGCUCAACCCCGCGGACUGCUUUUGAAACUGUCAGGCUGGAGUACAGGAGAGGUAAGCGGAAUUCCUAGUGUAGCGGUGAAAUGCGUAGAUAUUAGGAGGAACACCAGUGGCGAAGGCGGCCUACUGGACUGUAACUGACACUGAGGCACGAAAGCGUGGGGAGCAGACAGGAUUAGAUACCCGAGUA